AACGAACGCUGGCGGCAGGCCUAACACAUGCAAGUCGAACGCCCCGCAAGGGGAGUGGCAGACGGGUGAGUAACGCGUGGGAAUUUCCCCCAAGGUUGGGAAUAACUGAGGGAAACUUCAGCUAAUACCCAAUGGUACCUGGCGGUUAAAGAUUUAUCGCCUUGGGAUGAGCCUGCGUUGGAUUAGCUAGUCGGUGAGGUAACGGCUCACCGAGGCUAUGAUCCAUAGCUGGUCUGAGAGGACGACCAGCCACGCUGGGACUGAGACACGGCCCAGACUCCUACGGGAGGCAGCAGUGGGGAAUCUUGGACAAUGGGCGCAAGCCUGAUCCAGCCAUGCCGCGUGGGCGAUGAAGGUCUUCGGAUUGUAAAGCCCUUUUGGCGGGGACGAUAAUGACGGUACCCGCAGAAUAAGCUCCGGCUAACUUCGUGCCAGCAGCCGCCGCAGUAA
rnacentral:rRNA from 1 species